GUAGGCGAAAUACAAUAGGUGCGUCACAUGACGGCCCGGCUGCUCCGAUUCCAACUCAACGUAGGACGCGUUCAUUUCAUCCUCUGAGGGGCGGCCAUGCAAUAAAUCCUCAACACACGCUGGUAUUCUGACACUCACUAUCGCCCUUUUGCUCCUUAUAUAGUUCAGCAUCAUUUCUCGGCUUCUUGAAUUCCGCGAAAGGGCACCCUGUGCGGAAUUAGGCAGCUGUCCUCGCCCGCUGACUUGAAAUAGACUCGCCCCGUUCGUCUUCGAAACGGCACUAAGAAAGCCCAGGCGAUGCCUUGACGUGCUACACGCUUGGCACUCGAAAUCCCUCGCGAUCCUGAUAGUUAAGUGCGAAAGAUCGCCAGGGCGAACAGCAGGCACUGCUGAAAUAGCGAGCACGUCGUAUACUAUUGUGAUAAGAGGGCGUGUUGGUGGCCAUCACGGGAGUGACGUCAGUAUGCCAGAUCCCGUCGCCGAGCAGGCGCUUCUUGCUCGUGCGUGGUCAGGUGUAGCGUAGGCUUUGAAUCUCUGUGGAAUUUUCCAGAGUUCGCGUGUUUGUUGAGCUGUAAAGACGCUCCUGUAGCCGAGAUAAUAUUGCUCUGCUUGUUAUGUGACAGCGACUCAGCGAACCGUGUACUGUGUCCGUGUGGUGUGUGGGCGUCUUCAGGCUAUUUGCCAGAAGGCGUGACAAUGAGCCAGUGCCGUGGGACUUUUACGCCGUGAAGUUUCUGAGCUGAUGCGGUCUGGACAAGCGUCGCAAUUUACCAGUGCGUAUCGUAUUGUCGUGCUCGUUUUGUGGUUUCCGCAACAACUAAGGGUGAAGUUUGUCAUGCCUGCAAGAGACUGCGUAUCAGAUGUCAUGGAAGUGAUGCUCGUGGAAACGAAGUGGGCGUUGUGUGGUUGUCAACGAACGGAAACCGAAGAAGGAACUCGAUUAAUGUGACUCCCGCGUCAGGUUCACGCACUAAGCAAGCAUUCACGGGAUGCACUAGAUAAGCAAGGUCUUCACCCGAAAACAAGCGGGUCAUAAGAAAGAGCAAGUGGGAACGUUGCAAUACUGAUUCCUGUAUCUACCUUGUACCGCUGCGUAAGCAACUGCUGCAUGGCAUGCCACGUGGUGCAAUAAUGUGAAACUCCAGUGCAACGGCCGUACGUACAGAUGCUAAGUGGCCCGCAUCUCACAAAGGAAGAGUUCUCUAUCUACCUUGUACCGCUGGCUAAGCAACUGCUACAUGGCAUGCCACGUGGUGUAAUGUGAAACUCCAAUGCAACGGCCCUACCUACAGAGGCUAAGUGGCCCGCAUCUCACAACGGAAGAUGUCUGUGAAAUUCAUUGGAGACGCUCAUCUCGACAUGCACCUCGGCGACAACUUGGAAGCAGAAGGCUGAGGUCUGACCACCACCGUGGUCAGUUGCUUCGCAGCCGUUGGGGACUGAGGGCUGAUUGUUGCAUUCCCACCCACGUAUUGGGAGCGCUUAAUGCCUGCCUCACCUCCACCGCGGGUCAGGCCGCUAUUGCACUAUCUCCGGGAUCGACCCAGAUCCCCGAGAUUAUAACGCGAAAUUCUUCAAACCACCUAAAUACUUUCGCGCACAACAGAAGUGAGUGGUGUCUACUCUGCAGCGAUUUGUGCACGUGUUCCUCCAACGACGAGACAAAAUUUUGUUCCGCCUGGUUGUGAGCAGCCAAAAAGCUGAAGAAACGCACUAUGCCUUCCAAUAAUAUGGCUGGUGAAUACAUAUGUCACAUUCAAGUGGUGCAGAGCACGUUGUCUCUCAGAGCUAGCUGCUUCGUUUUGGCACUUGCCAAAAAAAUCGCAAGCCCUGAAAAGGAACACUUCUCGGCUGCUGCCUCCUGGACAUGCAGGGUGGACACUCAAGGGUGGACGGGAAGUGAAAAUGAGUCCAUAGGGGCCUCGACACCUGGAAGAAAUUAAGCUUGCGAUAUAUGAUGAGGAAGCGGGCCAGAAUUGCCUAUCGUCAGCCGGCCCCAUCGAUGUAUCGGCCGCCCAUGAUCAUCCCGUGACAAGCCACGAGCCCGCUUUUACGUCAUGGUCUACGUCAUCACCAUACCGCAGUGACAGCUCUACAUAAACCCGACGCAAGCACUGGGACGCUUCACUUGGCAGCGGCGGCAGCAGCGGGACAGCACGGCUUACGCUGUGUCUCUUCUUCUAUGCCUCGCAGAUUGCCUAUCGUCAGCCGGCCCCAUCGAUGUAUCGGCCGCCCAUGAUCAUCCCGUGACAAGCCACGAGCCCGCUUUUACGUCACGGUCUACGUCAUCACCAUACCGCAGUGACAGCUCUACAUAAAUCCGACGCAAGCACUGGGACGCUUCACUUGGCAGCGGCGGCAGCAGCGGGACAGCACGGCUUACGCUGUGUCUCUUCUUCUAUGCCUCGCAGGUUAGGCACUAUGUGCGACUGAAUUAUUCACGUUGCUUUUUUACUGCUGUUGCUACUGCCAAAGUCAUUUUUUUCUGUGUCUGUUUUUGCUGCAAUGUCCCCUGAGGAACAAAAAAUGCUGAAAGAUUUGAAACAAGAAAUUCGUGAUAUGCGCGCAUCUCUGGAGAGAGAAUUUAGGAAGGAAAAUAGAGAGAUUAAGAAUAGCCUGGAUAAUAUGAACAAAUGUUUUGAGGAAAUGUGUACCACCAUGAAAGACAUUCAGAAGGAAAACGCUGAAAUCAAGGCUGA